AUACGGAGGGUGCAAGCGUUAAUCGGAAUUACUGGGCGUAAAGCGUACGUAGGCGGUUAUUUAAGUCAGAUGUGAAAGCCCCGGGCUUAACUUGGGAACUGCAUUUGAAACUGGGUAACUAGAGUUUAGUAGAGGGGAGUGGAAUUUCAGGUGUGGCGGUGAAAUGCGUAGAGAUCUGAAGGAACACCAGUGUCGAAGGCGACUCCCUGGACUAAAACUGACGCUGAGGUACGAAAGCGUGGGUAGCAAACAGGAUUAGAAACCCCGGUAGUCC
rnacentral:rRNA from 1 species